GAUGAACGCUGGCGGCGUGCCUAAUACAUGCAAGUCGAGCGAACGGACGAGAAGCUUGCUUCUCUGAUGUUAGCGGCGGACGGGUGAGUAACACGUGGAUAACCUACCUAUAAGACUGGGAUAACUUCGGGAAACCGGAGCUAAUACCGGAUAAUAUUUUGAACCGCAUGGUUCAAAAGUGAAAGACGGUCUUGCUGUCACUUAUAGAUGGAUCCGCGCUGCAUUAGCUAGUUGGUAAGGUAACGGCCUACCAAGGCAACGAUGCAUAGCCGACCUGAGAGGGUGAUCGGCCACACGGGAACUGAGACACGGUCCAGACUCCUACGGGAGGCAGCAGUAGGGAAUCUUCCGCAAUGGGCGAAAGCCUGACGGAGCAACGCCGCGUGAGUGAUGAAGGUCUUCGGAUCGUAAAACUCUGUUAUUAGGGAAGAACAUAUGUGUAAGUAACUGUGGACAUCUUGACGGUACCUAAUCAGAAAGCCCCGGCUAACUACGUG
rnacentral:rRNA from 1 species